rnacentral:rRNA from 1 species
UUAACACAUGCAAGUCGAGGUGGCAGCAUGGUCUUAGCUUGCUAAGGCCGAUGGCGACCGGGGCACGGGUGAGUAACACGUAUCCAACCUGCCGUCUACUCUUGGACAGCCUUCUGAAAGGACGAUUAAUACAAGAUGGCAUCAUGAGUCCGCAUGUUCACAUGAUUAAAGGUAUUCCGGUAGACGAUGGGGAUGCGUUCCAUUAGAUAGUAGGCGGGGUAACGGCCCACCUAGUCUUCGAUGGAUAGGGGUUCUGAGAGGAAGGUCCCCCACAUUGGAACUGAGACACGGUCCAAACUCCUACGGGAGGCAGCAGUGAGGAAUAUUGGUCAAUGGGCGAGAGCCUGAACCAGCCAAGUAGCGUGAAGGAUGACUGACCUAUGGGUUGUAAACUUCUUUUAUCAAGGAAUAAAGUCGGGUAUG